GAUGAAGAACGCAGCGAAAUGCGAUAAGUAAUGUGAAUUGCAGAAUUCAGUGAAUCAUCGAAUCUUUGAACGCACCUUGCGCCCUUUGGCCAUUCCGAAGGGCAUGCCUGUUUGAGUAUCAUGAACACCUCAACUCUUCAUGGUUUUCCAUGAUGAGCUUGGACUUUGGGGGUCUUGCUGGCUUGUGGGUCGGCUCCUCUCAAAUGAAUCAGCUUGCCGGUUUUUGGUGGGCAUCACAGGUGUGAUAACUAUCUACGCUUGUGGUUUUCCACCAGGGUAACCUUCAGCAGUGGAGGUUCACUGGAGCUUACAAAUGUCUCUCCUCUGUGAGGACAGCCCUUUGAAUGUUUGAUCUCAAAUCAGGUAGGACUACCCGCUGAACUUAAGCAUAUCAAUAAGCGGAGGA
rnacentral:misc_RNA from 1 species